UCUUUACUUUAAAUAAAUCCAGUAAAUUAAUUAUUUUAACCCUUCAGGAAUGCUACAGCUGGAAUUAUUCCUAACUUUCUUGAAGAUAUGGUUGCCAAGCAACAGAAAUGCAUACUCUGCUUCUAAUCCUAACCACUCACUAAUAUUUGAAACAUGAGCUUUUUUUAUUUCCAUAUAGCAGAGUUUUAAAAUAAUGUUAAAUAUAAAGUAAUGCAAAUUAAUCAAAUAAAUUUGACAAAUAUUAAUAUUUUUAUCAAUUUUUGUUAAAAGUUUAAAAUAAGGUAAUUGUGAUGGGUUGGAGCACAGAAACCCCUUGGGGCUACCAACUGAUGUGCCAGGCCUACUUCUGCCCCUGCUUUCCCUGCCCUCCUAGCUUGGGACUUCAGUGCCCUGCCUGGUUUGAGCCAGACCUGCUAGCCUGCUGCAAACCCAGACUCAGGUCUGAACCACAUCCCCUAACAGCUGUAGGCUUAAUUAUAAGCAGGUUAAGAAGUGUUCCUGUCUUUAACACUCAGAUUCCCAACUCCCAAUCGGGUCUAAGUCCAAAUAAAUCCAUUUUACCCUCAUAAAUUGUACGCCCUCUAUAACAUUGAUAGAGAGAUAUGCACAGCUGUUCCCCGCCCCCCAGGUAUUAAUACAUGCUCUGGGUUAAUUAAUAAGUAAAAGAUUUUAUUAAAUACACAAAGUAGGAUUUAAGUGGUUUCAAGUAGUAACAGACAGAACAAAGUGAAUUACCAAGUGAAAUAAAAUAAAACACGCAAGUCUGAGUCUAAUACAGUAAGAAAACUGAAUACAGAUAAAACCUCACCCUCAGUGGUGUUCCAGUAAGCUUCCUUUUACAGACUAGUCUCCUUCUAGUCUGGGUCCAGCAAUCACUCACAACCCCUGUAGUUACUGUCCUUUGUUCCAGUUUCUUUCAGGUAUCCUUGGGGGUGGAGAGGCUAUCUCUUGAGCCAGCUGAAUACAAAAUGGGGGGUCUCCCACGGGCUUAAAUAGGCUUUCUCUUGUGAGUGGAGACCCCCUCCUCUCUCCUAUGCAAAGUCCAGCUCCAAGAUGGAGUUUUGGAGUCAUGUGGGCAAGUCACAUGUCCAUGCAUGACUCAGUUUUUACAGGCAGCAGCCAUUGUUUUCAUGCUACCCUGAACGUCCUCAGGUAGACUUCUUAUGUGGAUUGGAGCCUUCCAAGCUUCAUUGUCCUUUAAGUGUUUCUUGAUUGGGCACUUAAUUUGCACAUUCCUUUCUCAAGAAGCUGACCAAAUGCUUUACUAAGGCUACUUAGAAAUCAAUCAAGUACACAGCCAAUACUUAUGACUUUGAAUACAACAAUGGCAUAUGCAUACAAAUAGGAUGAAUCAAUUCAGUAGAUCAUAACCUUUACAGAGAUAUGUUACAUGGCAUAUGUAGCAUAAAACACAUUCCAGUUAUGUCAUAUAUACAUUCAUAAGCAUAUUUCCAUAAAGCCUUGUGGGGUGCACCAUCACAGUAAUAACUUGUUUAUUCAAAUAUUUAACCCUUUUUAUUUUUUAUUUUUGUUUGCCUUGUUUUGUAUAGUUAUGAAUAGAAUUCUGGCACCAUUUGUUUUUAAUUGUAAGUUUGUCCUGUAUGUCAUGUGUGUUGUCCUGUGUUGUAUGUUGUGUGUGUCAUGUGACUAUUUUUUAUUAUUUUUAUUUCGUUGCAACAAAAGUCAAUUGUAUACCCUUUUAAAAUAUAUGUAUAUGUGGUACCACACUAUUUUAAGAUCAUGGUUGGGAUAUAAUCAUAGUAUUAUUAACACCAAUUUUUUUGUGCAAAGUUCAAAAAGGUUUCAGUUACAGAUAUAUAACUGCGAACCAGCUGAGCGGUGAACAGCUGAGAAGCUAACAGAGGGAGUUUGACUGGGAUCUGUCCGAGAGGAGAUAUGCUAAGUGCUGCACUAGGGGAGCUGUGUUGGAUAGAAGCGACUUUGUUUGUACAAAAUGCAAGCUGGUCUCUAUAUUAGAAGAGAAGGUUUGAAGUCUGGAGAAACGAGUAUCGACUCUGCGUUGCAUAAGAGAAAAUGAAGAUUUCCUGGACAGACAUCAGGAUAUGCAUCUACGGGCACAACGUUCUGAAGAAUCAGAGCAGGUUGCGCAGAGGGGACAGAGGGACAGUGAAGAAAUUUGGCAGCAUGUGACCUCCAGAAGAAGAAAGAGGAGCGUCCAUGUACCAGCAAUGGAGAUACAGGUACUAAUGUGGAGAGUGGGCUAGAUGAUACAUCUGAGGGAAGGGAGCAGAAGGAGACUCCACCGAUUGGAAGGCAUGAGAUGCACUGUCCUAGUGAUGGGGGUUCCAUGACCACCGCUCCCAAGGGAAGGAGGAGGGUGGUGGUGGUCGGGGACUCCCUCCUCAGGGGGACUGAGUCAUCUAUCUGCCUGGGCAUUGGUUACUUUCCUUGCUGUUGCCUCUGGGGAGUUAAUAUCUGGCUGAUUCCCCAACUUACAGCAUGUUUUAGUGAUAACCAUACAACACAAUUCUCAUAACUUCAUAGGCAUUAAUGAUAUACAUAUAUGGCUAGAUACCUCACAGGGCAUGCUUUAUAUGCAAUAUCACAAUUAUAUACAGAUGAGGAAUAUGGGGGUUACAAGAUGCUCCCCCAAGGUAUAGUAUGUCACAACACUUUUAUAAAAGUGAAUAAUAAGGGAAUAAUAAUGCAAAGCCUGAAAAGGGGGUAAGUCCCUUAGGGACAGUUUGUAAUGGACCUAAACCAAAGGGAAAAAGCUUGAUAAACCAUAUACAUAAAAAAAAUAAUUAUAAACAGACUAAAAUAAGAACAGCCAAAUAAGAAUGAACCAGUUGUAAAUAACAAUCAGCUAAAGCACAGCUGGAGUCUAUUAUAAAAUAAUAAUAACACUGGUCUACAAUUUUUGAGAAGUCGUCUGCUUCAGAGAUAAAAUGUGCUAUUUAUUAUGUAUUUUGAUGUGCUGAAUUCAAAUAUGACCAUUAAAACAACUGAUUGGCUACUGUUUCUAAGAUAUUUAAGUUUUUACAUUUUAUGUCUAUGUAUAUUGUGUAGAUAGAAGAGUUUUAAUCAUAAAUUGUAAACCUAGGUCUUUUCAUGUGUUUAUGGUUGCUUUACAUGAUAAUAUUUCACCUGUCCUGUUUAUGUAACACUUUAAAAGUCAGCAAAAGGGA